rnacentral:rRNA from 1 species
CAGAUCUAGCUUGCUAGAUGCUGACGAGUGGCGCACGGGUGCGUAACGCGUAUACAAUCUACCUUUAACUGAGGGAUAGCCCAGAGAAAUUUGGAUUAAUACCUCAUAGUAUUAUAAUUAGGCAUCUUUUUAUAAUUAAAACUUCGGUGGUUAAAGAUGAGUAUGCGUACUAUUAGCUAGUUGGUAAGGUAAAAGCUUACCAAGGCAACGAUAGUUAGGGGGCCUGAAAGGGUGAUCCCCCACACUGGUACUGAGACACGGACCAGACUCCUACGGGAGGCAGCAGUGAGGAAUAUUGCACAAUGGAGGAAACUCUGAUGCAGCCAUGCCGCGUGCAGGAAGAAUGCCCUAUGGGUUGUAAACUGCUUUUAUACAAGAAGAAACCUCGGUACGUGUACCGACUUGACGGUAUUGUAUGAAUAAGCACCGGCUAACUCCGUGCCAGCAGCCGCGGUAAUACGGAGGGUGCAAGCGUUAUCCGGAUUUAUUA